rnacentral:misc_RNA from 1 species
UCUAAAAAUCCCCUGCAACUGCUUUUCAAAUUCGAAAAUCUCAAAACCCAUUAUUUUUAACCAAAGAAUGAGCUAUAUUGAGGAGUGCUUUGCUGGGGCAGCCCAGGAGUUCCUCAUUUGCAUCACCAUUCACAAGGCUGCCCAUGUGGGGGUGCCCACCGGAGAGCUGUAUGUACGGGUCAGCCUGGACAAAAUGACCAAAAGCACCAAGGCCCAGCCCAAUACCGAAAAUCCAUUCUUUAAUGAGUACUUUGUCUUUGAGUUCCAUUGCACCCUCACGGAGCUAAUGCGGUUGACCAUUCUCUUCGAACUGAAGAAGCACAUGACCUACAAGAAGAACGUGGUGGUCGGAGAGCUCCUGGUGGAUCUGCAUAGUGUAUGGAAUCAACCCAAUCAUGGCUACUUCAAGAAGUGGGGUCGCUUGGAGGCACCUAUCGGCGAAAACCAAAGCACGGAUGCGAAAGUGGAGGCUCAUGGGUAUCUGCAACUUGAUCUGGCCAUUGUCUCCCAGCACAGUUCCCCGGUCAGUAGUUUAAGAUCAGAGGAACAGGAAGCCCAGAAUCUCAACAAAUGGCCAGUGGAUCGUGAUUAUGAUGAUAUAGAGAAGAACCUCUUAACCAAUGUGAACUCUUUCACUCCAAGCAACAUCCGUUAUUUCAUCACCUUCUAUCGGGGCUACCUUAACCGGCAGGGAAACUACUUAAUUCAAUAUAGAUUCCAUCCUUUCAAGGGCAAAACGCCGAUGACCAAGAAUACAACUACGCCGGUGUGGAAUCACGAGGUCAACUUCGCUUGGGUAUAUCCUUCGGUGGCGCAACGAUUGCUCAUCCUCGUCCUGUCCCAUGAACAUUUGCAGUGGAAGUGCGUGGCUGAGUUUGAACUAUCCCUCGAGGAGAUUGCCUUCAAGGCAACCCCUGCAUUGGGUCCCACCUACUUGCACUUCUAUGAUCCUUUGAAUCCCAUGGUCUAUGUGGGUCGGGUGCUCAUGGAAAUUCGAUCCGAGACCCUCCAAGAGCCAACACCCAGCCACAAAUUGACCUCAAGAACUGUGUCAGGUUUGGAUGAGUCUCGUUUUUGGCAUGAUGAAAUAUAUCUUGUUGAGUUUCUUCCCCUAAUGGGUCACCACAUCCAGACGCCUGCCUCCAGCUACAAGAUCUACGCAAAACUGGCCGAGCACUGUUCCAAUGUCUUAGAAGGACAAUUAAGGACGCCAACUGGUCGCUUUCGUACGAAUAUGCACUCCAAGAGCUUCCGGCGGGAGGUUCCUUUUAGAUCCUGUACGUUCCGGGCUCGAUUGCCGGAUAAUCGGGCCAAGUACGAGAGUGACUUCUUUAUGCUGGAAAUAACAAAUUAUAUGCGCUCUGAACUGGAAAUCUUCAAGGUUUUUCAACUCAAGCACCCUCUGCAGGAUGAGGACCAGGCCAAGUGCCUGAAGGCCAUUAUAGGCAAUAUUUUGACCAAGGUUAAGGAGGGCCUAGACGCCCAUCGAUUCGACCACGAGGUCCAGCCCCAGAGGACCACUUGGGACAUCAACCGGCAACUCUACUUACUCGACUACUUCGCCAAGUUGCCCAACGAACUUGGUCAACUGAGGCAGAAGUUGCGCAGCUGUUUCCUGGAACACCUGGACGCCACCAUUGUGGAUGUGGUCAAUGAGUUGCAGAGAUUAGUGGGCGAAAUCGCAGCUCUUUCGGGCAUGGCUCGACUGCAGGACGAGUGGCCAGAGUUGGUGCUGUACCUGAGUGCAGGGGGCAAGGAUUUGGGUGUUUGUCGUCUAAAUGCCAAGCUAUUUGUAUACUUGACGAAGCAGCAGAGCAACACGAAGCAGGAUACGCUUUGUUUCCGACUCAAGAGUUUCACCUUUAAGUCCACUAGUUGUAACCACACCUGUCCCAAUUGCGGAUGCACCACGGCCGUAGUCCUGGGAUGCCUUGCCGUUGUGGUGGAGAGGGAACGGAAGGAAUUUCUCAAUACCAUCAACAAUGAUUGGAUUAGCCCUGAACCCAUGGUGUGGCAAUCGAAUCCUGGACACACGAACUUUCUCUGCCAUGUCUACAUUCACCAGGCCAAAGUUCGACCGGGAGGUGAAAAGAAAAACAUCUGCGACUCGCAUGUGAGAGUCCUUUUUGCGGAACAGGCUGCGGAAACAUACACAUCGCCCGGUAGCCUGUCGCCCAUCUGGAACGCCGUGAUCACCUUUAACUCUUUGAUGUUACCAGGAAGUGUGAAUCUAUAUUUACGAAAUCCUCCUUUGAUUUCUUUGGAGUUCUACAACACGGAAAGGAUCCUCUCGGACGAUCUGGUGGGCAUUGGCAAUGUGGCACUGAGUGUAAUCAGCGAGGACCAAGCCACCGACUCUAGUUGGAACGAUACGACUGGUGGACUUGGUUGCUUCCUACGAAAUACCGCCCAGAACUUGCAGCGCCUGAAGUACCUCACUCCACCUCCCUUGAAGUGGGUGCCGGUUGCUAGGAAGGGAACCGUCCAGGCGGAGGUCCUGAUGUCUGCGGAGCUUAUUGAAGUCUCAAUGGAUCCUGGAGACAUGGAAUUGAAGAAGGAUCCAAUUUUGGCCACUGGUAUACCAGUAGAUAUCAGGCCUAAUAUGCAGAAUUUCAUCCUGGAGGUUUUCUUUGUGGGCUUACGAAACUAUUCAAAAACCAGCAUGAGCUCGGCUGGAAAGCGGAAAAUCAAGGUGAUGAUGGGUGACUUAGUGCUAUCCAGUGGGCCCUCGACUGCUCGAGUUCGCAAUAGCAUUAACUUUUUGGUGGCCUAUAACUCUGGAGUGGUGAGUCUGCCCGAACAGCAGGAGUAUUGGCCAGCCAUUAUUGCCACCGAUGUUCUGCUAUCUGGCUUUAGCAGUGAGUCCACCUUGGGAGCUGCCCUCAUACCCAACUCCUCCAGCUUCCUUCAACGCGAUAAAACUAUAAAGUGUGUCCCAAAAACCACAUCUGGAGAUGAAUCUAUUAAGGUAGGGGAGAAUGAAGGCGAGGAGAAGGAAGACGAGGACGGUGAUGAGCUGGAGUGGGAGGAGGUUGAUGACACGCUUCCCACUCGGAUAAGCAGCUGGUGGAUGCGUUUUCUCUACGCUAUAGGGCUGCGUCCAGCCCCCUAUGCCAAUCAACAGGCUUUAAGGUACGAUCAUGAGUUGGAGGACAAGGAUCUGGUGGUGGAGAAGGAGUUCACUUGGUGGACCAAGUUCUACAAUUCGAUGUACUGGACUGCGGCGGAAAUGUCGCACGAAAACAAGCACCGUUUGGUCAUCUUCCCGGAGGAACUGGAAAAGCAGGCUCAGUUUGGAUACCUUCAGGAUUGGGCAGUACCCGUUCAACUCGUUCAUGGAGUCAAGUUCAAAAAACAGGCUCCCCCAAGGGAGGAUAUCUAUGCCACCCUGAAGUUGCAACUUAAGCUAACUCCUUGCCAGUGCCCUGUACUGGAGGAUCCUGGAGGUGGUGGCGAUGGCAUAGCCCGUCACUUCCCCAAUCCCAUUAAUCCACGCAAUCAGGCAGCCAUCCACGCCCUGGGGGAAACCAUAAAGUUGAUUGUUAGGAUUUACAUAGUCCAAGGUGUGCAGAUGCGACCUCGGGAUGUGAGAGGCGACUCCGAUGCCUACGUGAAGAUAUUCCUGGGGGGCAAGACCAUGUCCGAUCGGGCUCAUUACUCUCCGAACCAAAGUAAUCCGGUAUUUGGUCGCUUCUUUGAGCUGGAAGCCUCGUUGCCGGGGGAUAAUAUCCUACAGAUCGUUGUGUACGACCAUGACAAGUUCAAGGAUGAGGUGAUCGGACACACCACUAUCGAUUUGGAGGACCGCUGGAGAACCAGGCACCGAGCCACAGUGGGUCUGGCCAACGAGUAUUCCCGGAGUGGUUACAAUCACUGGCAUGACUUGAGAUUGCCCUCCGAGAUUUUAGUGGAUCUCUGCCAGAAACGUGGCAUCCAACCACCUUAUUACUAUGGCAAUGUUAUUGAAGUGGAUGGAAUGCUCUUUGGGGAUGAGACAGUGAUUUCAAAGAAUGAGGAGCUCCAGGAGCGACUAAGCUUGGCAGUCCUCAAGAAUUUGGACAAGCUGCCCUCCUUUGGCUAUAAACUGAUCCCAGAGCAUGUGGAAACGCGUUCCCUUUGUCGAGAUGAUUAUCCAAACGUGGAGCAGGGUAAGCUGCAGCUUUGGAUUGAACUAUUCGAAUCGAACAUCUAUGUGCCCCAACCGAUUGACAUUACCCCAGUGCCCCCAUCGGAAUUCGAGGUUCGUGUUGUGGUUAAAAAUCUGAAAGGCAUACAGUUUGGGGACAAAAACAUUUUCGGGAAACUAAUGAGCGACAUCUAUGUAAUUGGAUGGUGCGAGGACGAGGACAAGCGCCAAUCGACCGAUAUCCAUUACCGCUCAUUUGCUGGCGAGGCGUCCUUUAAUUGGCGCAUGGUCUUCGGCAUGAAGUACUCCCCCAACGAGGACCUGAUGGUUAUCCGUCGGAAGGCCGGCUUGCUGGAGGAGAUCGAAUUCAAGAGGCCACCCGUGAUUUACCUGCAGGUCUGGGAUAAGGACAUGAUUACCAGAGAUGAAUACCUGGCUGCCUUCGAGCUGAAUCUCUCCAAUAUGCCGCUGCCCUAUCCCAGUGCCCACCUCUGCAAGCCGUAUCCUCCGAAGAGGAAGCGCAUCAAUCUCUUCAAGCGCAAGGUCAUCCAAGGCUGGUUUCCCAUCCAGAACAAUUCGAAUCCCUCACUAAAAGUGGCCUCCAAAGAUCAGAAUGUGAGUGGGCCAAAAUGCAGCUGCAGAUAGAGGUCUGCACGGAUGUGGAGGCUUCCAACCGGCCGGCAGGACGAGGCCAGGAUCCACCAAUGGCCUUGGAGCCACCAUUCCGACCGGACACAUCGUUCAAUCCACUCACGCAUCCCUGCAAAUCCUUCCGGCAUAUCCUCUGGCCAGCCAUCCGG